rnacentral:rRNA from 1 species
UACGGGGGGGAGCAAGCGUUGUUCGGAUUUACUGGGCGUAAAGGGCGCGUAGGCGGUCAGCACAAGUCAGUUGUGAAAUCUCCGGGCUUAACUCGGAAAGGUCAACUGAUACUGUGCGACUAGAGUGCGGAAGGGGCAACUGGAAUUCUCGGUGUAGCGGUGAAAUGCGUAGAUAUCGGGAGGAAGACACCUGAGGCGAAGGCGGGUCUACUGG